AUUGGGCGUAAGCGCGCGCAGGCGGUUUCUUAAGUCUGAUGUGAAAGCCCCCGGCUCAACCGGGGAGGGUCAUUGGAAACUGGGGAACUUGAGUGCAGAAGAGGAGAGUGGAAUUCCACGUGUAGCGGUGAAAUGCGUAGAGAUGUGGAGGAACACCAGUGGCGAAGGCGACUCUCUGGUCUGUAACUGACGCUGAGGCGCGAAAGCGGGGG
rnacentral:rRNA from 1 species